rnacentral:rRNA from 1 species
ACCCGCUGAACUUAAGCAUAUCAAUAAGCGGAGGAAAAGAAACCAACAGGGAUUGUCUUAGUAACGGCGAGUGAAGCGACAAAAGCUCAAAUUUGAAAUCUGGCACCUUCGGUGUCCGAGUUGUAAUUUGAAGAAAGUAACUUUGGAGUUGGCUCUUGUCUAUGUUCCUUGGAACAGGACGUCACAGAGGGUGAGAAUCCCGUGCGAUGAGAUGUCCAACUCUAUGUAAAGUGCUUUCGAAGAGUCGAGUUGUUUGGGAAUGCAGCUCUAAGUGGGUGGUAAAUUCCAUCUAAAGCUAAAUAUUGGCGAGAGACCGAUAGCGAACAAGUACAGUGAUGGAAAGAUGAAAAGAACUUUGAAAAGAGAGUGAAAAAGUACGUGAAAUUGUUGAAAGGGAAGGGUUUGAGAUCAGACUUGGUAUUUUGUAUGUCUUGCUUUCGGGUGGGGCCUCUGCAGUUUACUGGGCCAGCAUCGGUUUGGACGGUAGGAUAAUGACAUUGGAAUGUGGCACUACUUCGGUGGUGUGUUAUAGACUUUGUUGAUACUGCCUGUCUAGACCGAGGACUGC